rnacentral:rRNA from 1 species
AGAGUUUGAUCAUGGCUCAGAUUGAACGCUGGCGGUAUGCUUAACACAUGCAAGUCGAACGGAAACGAAACUAGCUUGCUAGUAGGCGUCGAGUGGCGGACGGGUGAGUAACGCGUAGGAAUCUGCCUGAUAGUGGGGGAUAGCCCGAAGAAAUUCGGAUUAAUACCGCAUAAUCUAUUCGUAGUAAAGUGGGGGACUUUCGAGCCUCACGUUAUCAGAUGAGCCUGCGUAAGAUUAGCUUGUUGGUAGGGUAAAAGCCUACCAAGGCAACGAUCUUUAGCUGGUCUGAGAGGAUGAUCAGCCACAUCGGGACUGAGACACGGCCCGAACUCCUACGGGAGGCAGCAGUGGGGAAUAUUGGACAAUGGGGGCAACCCUGAUCCAGCAAUACCGCGUGUGUGAAGAAGGCCCGAGGGUUGUAAAGCACUUUCAAUUGUAAAGAAAAGUUAACGGUUAAUAACCGUUGACCUUGGCGUUAACUUUAGAAGAAGCACCGGCUAACUCCGUGCCAGCAGCCGCGGUAAUACGGAGGGUGCAAGCGUUAAUCGGAAUUACUGGGCGUAAAGCGUGCGUAGGCGGUUUAUUAAGUCAGAUGUGAAAGCCCCGGGCUUAACCUGGGAACUGCAUUUGAAACUGGUCAACUAGAGUAUGGUAGAGGAAAGUGGAAUUUCUGGUGUAGCGGUGAAAUGCGUAGAUAUCAGAAGGAACAUCAAUGGCGAAGGCAGCUUUCUGGACCAAUACUGACGCUGAGGUACGAAAGCGUGGGUAGC